UACAGAGGUCCCAAGCGUUGUUCGGAUUCAUUGGGCGUAAAGGGAGCGUAGGUGGUCGGGUAAGUCAGAUGUCAAAUUUCGGUGCUCAACGCCGAAUCGCAUUUGAUACUGCCUGGCUAGAGGAAUUGAGAGGAGGCCGGAAUUCACGGUGUAGCAGUGAAAUGCGUAGAUAUCGUGAGGAAGACCAACGGCGAAAGCAGGCCUCUGGAAAUCUCCUGACACUGAGGCUCGAAGGCCAGGGGAGCAAACGGG
rnacentral:rRNA from 1 species